ensembl:lncRNA
GAAAGCACAGGCAGUGGCUUGGUGCUGUGGCAAAUGUGGCUUUACAUCUGACAACUGCUGUUAAAACAUGUUAUGAUCACAUGACACAGUUAUCUGCAAGGUUAACAGCCUGUCACUUUACAUUCAUGGGGGAAGAAAAAGUGGAUUAAAGCCAAAGCUCCUGGUGAGGAUAUGAAGGAAUUCAGGAUGACAGUUUCAGUGUCUUAUCCAAACAGACGUGUAUUGGAAAAGGACUAGAGAAAUGGUGACAGCAGAUUCAGGACUAUCCUGAUAGUGAUUCCAAAUCUUCCAAGGAAGAAAAUGGAGGGGGUGAAUAUGCUAGGAAGAAUAUGAAGAAAAACUUGGAAGCAGUCAUUGCAGGG